CUGAAUGAAAAUGCACAUUCACUCUCUGACAGCAGAUGGCGAUGAUGAAACAGCAAAAAUGCAGUCGUUAACCCGGAAAACAUUAAACAAAGC